CUUUCGCCCGAUGCCGUAGAAGGCGAAUUGCGAAGGCGUCCGAAGCAAACUGCCGCUCAGUAACCAGCGAUUUUGCUUCACCGAGGUGACGAGUUCAACACAACGUCUUAGACGUCCAUCCUAUACGCCACUUUUCGACCACGACCUAAUGCUAACAGCGCUUGACUCCACCACGUAUUGCCAGACCGAUCCACCCACAAGGAGCCUCCCCGUAGCAACCGUUAUCGCCGCAGGAGGUCAACCCCAUUUUCUCGCA